UACGUAGGGGGCAAGCGUUGUCCGGAUUUAUUGGGCGUAAAGAGCGUGUAGGCGGCCAGGUAGGUCAGCUGUGAAAACUCGAGGCUCAACCUCGAGACGUCGGUUGAAACCAUCUGGCUAGAGUCCGGAAGAGGAGAGUGGAAUUCCUGGUGUAGCGGUGAAAUGCGCAGAUAUCAGGAAGAACACCCGUGGCGAAGGCGGCUCUCUGGAACGCAACUGACGCUGAGACGCGAAAGCGUGGGGAGCAAACAGG
rnacentral:rRNA from 1 species